rnacentral:lncRNA from 1 species
CCUAAGGGAGAACUUCCGGGAGCGACAGAAGUAAAGGUUACCCAGCUAGAAACUGAGUCAGGAUCCUUCUGCGUUAUUACCGGUUUCCUGGAUUCUGGGGAAGGCGCCAUCGUGGAAGAACCGUUCCCGGACAGAUUGCCUGAAAAUGUAACUGUCAGAUUCCAGUGUCACCCAGCUACAGAAUAACUCCAGUUUGGCCUCCGGUCACAACUGAGACUUCAGUGAUCCAGUGAUGCUGUGAUUCUCCAGGACAAGAAACAUCCUGGGAGAACAAACAUCUGCUCAGUUCCUCAUUGUUCUUGGACUGAUGAACAUCUUGUUUGCCGGAGAUGUACUGAACUCUCUGCAAGCCUUCCGUUACACCUUGUUUAUCCCAAUGUGAACUGUUGAACUCUCUGCAAGUCAUUUGUUACAUUUGUUUCUCCCGAUGUACUGAAUAAAAGGACGCCAUGGGCAGCUUGGAGUCCAAGUCCUCUACUCCUUUCGAAUGUGUUCUAAUUUCAGAAAAAUCUGCACUCCAG